rnacentral:rRNA from 1 species
GACGAACGCUGGCGGCGUGCUUAACACAUGCAAGUCGAACGGAAAGGCCCUGCUUUUGUGGGGUGCUCGAGUGGCGAACGGGUGAGUAACACGUGAGUAACCUGCCCUUGACUUUGGGAUAACUUCAGGAAACUGGGGCUAAUACCGGAUAGGAGCUCCUGCUGCAUGGUGGGGGUUGGAAAGUUUCGGCGGUUGGGGAUGGACUCGCGGCUUAUCAGCUUGUUGGUGGGGUAGUGGCUUACCAAGGCUUUGACGGGUAGCCGGCCUGAGAGGGUGACCGGCAACAUUGGAACUGAGAUACGGCCCAGACUCUUACGGGAGGAAGAAGUGGGGAAUAUUGCACAAUGGGCGGAAGCCUGAUGCAGCAACGCCGCGUGCGGGAUGACGGCCUUCGGGUUGUAAACCGCUUUCGCCUGUGACGAAGCGUGAGUGACGGUAAUGGGUAAAGAAGAACCGGCUAACUACGU